rnacentral:misc_RNA from 1 species
AACGCAUAUUGCACCUCUUGGUAUUCCUUGAGGUAUACCUGUUCGAGCGCCGUUUAUUAUCUAAGGCUUUGCCUUGUGUUGAUGUUACCUGUUAAAGGUUCAUCUAAAUAAAUGGGCACUUAUUCUUUGUCCUAAACACAGCGAAAUGUGUAAAGGUUAAGAAUGAAGUAGCCAAUGCUCUCUAAAGCAUGGCCUCGGAUCAGGUAGGGUUACCCGCUGAACUUAA